rnacentral:hammerhead_ribozyme from 1 species
GUUCAAAUGAUGAGUCUCAAAUACGACGAAAUGUGCAUCUUGGAU